rnacentral:lncRNA from 1 species
GAUCCUGGCUCUGUCACGUUCUAUUUAUCUUUCACCAACUGAUGGACAUUUGGGUUGUUUUCACACUCUUAUAAACAACGCUUCUGCGAUCAUCUAGGUAUAAGCUUUUGUGUGGCCCUGGGUUUCAUUCUCUUGGACAUAGUCGUACAAGUGGGAUUUCUGGUCACGUAACAGUCCUGCUUAAGCUUUGGGAAAGUGCUGGAUUGUGUUUCCUGGUGGCACAUUGCAGUCAGCACUGUGAGGAGCCUCUCCAACCCCUCAUCAAUUCUGCUGAGUAAAAUGUUUUCAUUACCGUCUAUUUUUUUCCUUUGGUGUGUCUUAUUUUGUUUUCUGAGAUGGGGAGAGUGGUGCUGUGUAGCCCAGGUUGACCUUGUACUCUCCAUCCUCUUCCCACAACCUCCUGACUCUUGGGGUUAUAGAUGUGUGACUCCUACCAUUCCUGGAGGCCAUCCUAUUUACUAAGGCGCCCUGGGAAGCAUCAGUCACGUUUGCCCUCUGGGAUGUCCUAUCGCCAAUGUGUCCUCUGAACUCAAACCCGGUUUCCCCUCUAGGUUUUUCUGUAACAAUUCUGUAAUUUCUCUGUGGCUGGCUGCUCUGUGAAAUAAUUUUUGUAAUUGCUGUGAUGACGGAAGGCUGAUCAUCUCUCAACAGAAGUAACAAGGCAUGAGGAAUAGGAGACUUGCUUUAAUACUACCCAAAGAUUUCUAAAGCUUGCCCUGCAUCUCAGCGUGUUGAGUGUAGGUCAUUAGAUAUUCUAUAGCGUUGUGAAAUAAACUUCAGCAGUAGAAGGGGAUUCCAGUAGAUCCUUGGGGGAGUCACUGUGUUCAAAUCUGGCCAGUGUGGCUCAAGAAUAAGCUGAACCAAGCUUUGUACCUUCAAAUUAGUAUUUAGUCCUCUAGGCCCCAGGCUUGACCACAUGUUGUUCUCAUCUUGAAGCCUUUUAAAAGCUGGUGGGUGCUGGUUCCACUGAAAGAGGGGGCAGAAAAGGAAUCAAAGCAGCAACCAGGUUUCGGGUGGUGGUGAUGAAAUCUGAGAACCCACAGUCUCCUCUGUGCCUUGUCAGGUUCUCCUUCUCCAGAGAGUUUCACACAGCUGACACAGGUAGAGCGAGUUCAGGGCAAGACUGGUCCAGCACAAUGUUUAACUGUGAACAGAGUUUCUGCUGCUGUUUUGAGCAUCUCAGAGCCCUCGACUAGAAAGAAGACUCUGAAGUUUAGCUUUGACCAUUCUGUAUGUCACACACUCAGAGGGCAACCGUUCCCAGUUCUGGGCGCAGGAGUUAGCAGGAAUUACGAAAUGGAACUUACGUGCGUGGAGCCACGCUCGCUGAGGACAGGGACCAGAUGACCAGAUGAGUUUCUGUAGCAGUCCUGGCUGGUCUGGGAAUGUAAACAGCUGGGAUGUGACAGGGUUUGCCUUGGUGUCACUUUCUUCUCUGUCCUCUCCCCACGAUAUCCUACCCACGUCCGCGUAGAGCCUUAGAACGUUCCCUGCCUUAUUUUACUAAUAGAUCUAAGAGCAGCUUCGAGACCCAUGCAUUCAUUCAUUCUUUCUCAUUCAUCCCCAGUUAACAUUUCCCAUCCCCAUCCUGUGAGUAGCAAAUCAACCAAAGCUUAGCUUCUGCUC